AGUUCAAGAUCCUUCUAAGUAAAGCUUCAUUUCAUGUGAAAAUGUGAUAUUUCCUUGGGAGUCUUCAGACUGUUUAGAAGUACAACGUGCCUUUGUGGAAGUUAGUGGACUGCAAGUCUUCCUCCAUGCAACUGAAUCCUGGAAUUGAGCGCCCUGGGAGCCAGAGGGGGGAAUUUUAAAUAGAUUGACUUUGGCUGCAUCUGACUGACCUUGGCUGCUGCAACAUGAGGGGUGUCUUGAAUGAGGGACGUUUGGCUGGGAAUCCGAAUCAGCCUCAGACCCACUUCUAACUUGCAAUAUUAACAGUCUGCUACAUUUUAGAAGCCAUUCACUCCAGACCUACAGUGUGGGAGUAAUGAGCUGUAUUAACAUUGGCAGAGCAUUUUUCAAUAUUUGAAGCUUUAAAAAUGUUUUCUGCAUGAAAUCAUAUCUGAAACGAGAGCCCAUUCUAUUGCUGCCUUUUGUUUCUGGGCAGACAUGCCGCUGUCAAGUCUAUGCUGAAAUUCUGUCCAAUCGUCUUUAUUGUUUUCAAGGGAAAGCUCUCGCUUCUGCCCCAGAAGUGCCUAAAAUAACGAGGAGGUUUGGACUCCAGACAAUUCAGCUGUAACUCUUGUCAUUUUCAGUUUCGAAACACAGAAAUUAGAUAGUGGUAGUUGAAUCUGUCCAUUUCAGUAGUAAUGGAAAUUCUUCAGGAUUUUAGUCAAAUCUCCUAACAUGCACGUUUGUAUGCAAUUUUGUAUAAUAUACACAUUUUUCAAAGCACUUUUUUGUAUAAAAAUGCAAUGUUUUAUGUUAUUUUCAUGAAUAUUACUCUGUUGAAAAAUUCAGAAAAGUUGAAAUUUUGAAGGAUGGCUGUUUCAGAAAGUAGGGGGGGUUAAGUGGUUUUCCCUUUAAAUGCAAACUGAAUGUUUGCUUUGUCAUUCUACUUCUACUCAAAUCGUCAGCAUAACACUCAAAACAGAAGUGUGGCACUCAAAUUGGAAGUGUAACGCUCAAAACGGAGCACGUUCGGCUUCCGAAAAAAGUUCACAAACCGGAACACUUCUGAGUUUGCAGUAUUUGGCUUCCAAGUUGUUUGCGUACCAAGGGGUUUGAGAACCAAGGUUCCAUUGUAUCGCUGAAUGAAAUCCUGUUUGGAUUAUAGAUGCUCUUGUACAUCAAGCCAUAGGUAAACAGCAGUUAUUCUUGACAUAGCUAGUUGGUAGCAAAUAUUUCUGAUUCUUGGGAAGAAUGAGCUUUACCAUGGCAUGCAUGCGCAGAGCAUAGGCAGCUGGUGCUAGUCUCCAGAUAUUUCUGUGGUUCAGAAUCGGGGUCAUGCCCUCCCCUAUUUCCCUCCUUCUGCCACAUGUUCAAAAUAGAAUAAGUUUUCUUCCAUUUACUAUAAAAGUUUCCCCGUCUUUAUUAGCAUCCCGAUUGGGACUUGGGCCUGUCCUUGGAUGUAGACAUGUGUCUCCCACAUCAGUAGGGGGUGGUGCAAUUUAAAUAAAAUAUGUACAGCGCCAGAGGUGGGCACGUCAGUUUCUAGCUCACAGGGUGUAGAUCUCUCCUGACUUGGCUACCAGAGUUGACAACAGCAAUCUGUCUUGUGUCAAGAUGCUUGCUGCACCGAGAAACCGGUGCAAGUCACUGAAAUGUAAAUCCAGCUCUUGCCUGGACUGCAGCCUAGUUUCCAGCUUCUUCAUGCAAGGCGCUUCCUGUCUAGGGAAAUAUUCCAGCUUUCUCUUGUUCAUUAGGACCCUCACGCAGUUGUCAACUCGCAUGGUGUCAGCAUUUAACAGCUUGAGGAAAAGUAAACUGCUAAUUGCUAAUUGCUUAUACACCAAAAUAAUAUUUGUGUUUGUGUUGCUGUUGUUUUUCAAUUCAUCCAUCCUAAUAAAUGCAGUUAUGACUCAUGCUCCUCAUUUAGUAAUGCAAAGCAAGUUUCUUCACUUACCUGCCUAGGAAUUCGGUUGCUGUGUGGUGUCACAGUUAUUCAUCUUAUUUAUCCAGCAUAUAAUCCAUAAUGUUUAAUGGGGGUUGAGGGCAUAAUUUGCAUUGGCUUCAGAACUCAACAUCCUAUACCAGGAUGUUCUGUGCUUUUCGUCUGUGGGGAUAGGCUUGCAAGUAUAUGAGCAUGCUUGGUGAAAUAUUAGACAUAAACUGGGGAGUGUAGAAAUUGCUGUUGCUCUGCUAACCCGUUCCCAUAACAAGCAGAAACAGAACUUUAGGCGUAGUAGGCAGAUACAGUGAUACCUCGGGUUACGAACUUAAUUCGUUCUGGAGGUCCAUUCUUAUCCUGAAACUGUUCUUAACCUGAGGCACCACUUUAGCUAAUGGGGCCUCCCACUGCUGCUGCACCGCCAGCGCACGAUUUCUGUUCUCAUCCUGAAGCAAAGUUCUUAACCCGAGGUACUAUUUCUGGGUUAGCGCAGUCUGUAACCUGAAGCGCCUGUAACCCGAGGUACCACUGUAUACUUAAUUUUGCUUAUAUGUGUAUAAGUUGCUUUACAUGUCAUGGAAUCAAACCCCCCCCCCCCUUUAAAAUAUAGAAUAUAAAUAUCCUUGCUUUUAAGGCAGUUUAUAAAUUUUCAGCAAUGUACUGCGAAUAGCACAAUGUGUGAGUGUACAUGAUGCCUAAUUUUUUAUUUACUUACACAAAUGAAAAUAACUAUAUUAAUGCUUUGAAUUCAUUUCCUCUCAAAGGGUCAGAUUACCAUGCACAUUGGGCCAAUCCAAGAUAGGUCUAAUCUUCCACAGAAAAAUCAGGAAUUAAAAUCUUGCAUCAGUUCAUAUAGCUAUUCACAGCCACUCAGAAGAAUUUCAGACUUCGGAGCAUCAUUCUAUGCUAGGAUGAUACAAUUAUAUUUAUAUUAAGAAGUACUGAUCUGGGGGAGGGGGGGAGAGAGAAGGUACUAUAUAUUAGCUAAGUGCUCAUUUCACUCAUUUUCUCUUGAUUUUUUAAAGCAGAAUAACGGUGCAGGAAACACAAAAAGGUAUUACCUUGAAACAGGCUGCAUUUGAGUAGCUUCAUCAUGUUCUGAGAGGUUUGAAGCUCAUCCAAAGCUAGGUUUGGGUCCUAAUUAAGUACUCCAGAUCGAUUUGGCAGGAGCCACAGCUAAUUCAAAUACCUCUCUUCACAUCUGUGUAUCUUUUGCUUUCUGUUUGUAAGAGAUAAGUUCAUUGAUCCACAAAAAGUGAAGCAUGCAAGCCAUCCAAUUUAUGUCAGUUUCAAGGCUCUGGUGUGAAGCCAUGGAGCUGCUUUGAGAACGCUUUGUUGAUGUGGGCACCAUUUCUGCCACCAGCUCUAUCCACCAGCCCGAUUCUUCCCAUAUUCCCGAGUUGCUCCUUGCCAGGGUCGCUCUGGCCAAACUAGGAUUAUGAAUGCAAGCUUCUCAGCUCAAUAUGGACAUUGAGAAGGCUUCUUCAAAGCUCCACUCUGCAGCCUUUCAUAUAACCUUGGGCUUUUGAGGGGGAGCUGGGGGUGGAGGGGAUGUAUGAAAAAUGCUCUCCAAAACCCAGCCAUAACUCAUUGUAAGAAGUUUAAUACUAAUGGUCUUCUACUUUUGAGUGGCAUGAAAUUCUUACAGAGCUAGGCGUAUUUGUCUGUUUGUUUAUGCAUCUGUUCAUACCUUGGGUAACUCCUUUCAAAGCAGCUGACAAAAUUCAAAAUCAAUUAAAAAUACACAAUCUGUAAAAGCAAUAAAAUAGCCACCACCUAACAUAAAAUGGCAGAGUUAAAAGUCAUCUUCCAAAUCACGCCACAUCCAGAUAAUCAUUAAAAAAAAGUACGGUGAUGCCUAAUGUUGUGCUGAAACCAAUUUCUCACAACUUUUCUUCUACUGUGGAAAAAGAAGGCUGCCUCUUUCUCAGGGUGCUUUAGAAUUUCUUUAUAAUUCUUCUGGGUGUGGGGUUGAGCUUAUCUCAUUGUCUGAGAUGUGGGUGGUGGUGGCAUUUUUCUUUCAAUUGAUCAUUUCUCCAGCCCUCCGCAACCUCCUGGGGUGCCUUGUGCUUUCUCAUCUGGAAAAGCCACAUAGAAGUGACCGCAUGAUGCCUUCUCCUGAGCUUAAAUUGAAACAUGGGAAAUUUUGAAGGCUAGCUGCCGAACACCUGAGAUCAGUGUACUAGCCGAUUUUUUUUGGUUUUUAGGGAAAUCUUUCCUGUUAGCUUUUUAAAAUCCCUACCCAGGCUAAUUUCUUUAAAAGUUUUUUUUAAAAUUAUUAUUAUUAUUAUUUUUAAAAAGCCGAACAGCUGUCGGCACAUUUUGGCAGCUUCCUCAGCUUUCAGUGCUUACAAGAAAGCCCAACCAACAAUGUCUUGGGUGAUUUAAGGAAACACAGGCACCCAAGAAGGCUGCAGAGUAGAAAAGGAGAUUUGUAGUAUGAAAGAGUGCCUUUGAUAGUUUUCAAAUGCAAUUAUUUAUUAUUAUUAUUAUUAUUAUUAUUAUUAUUAUUAAUUGAUGGAGAAUUGUUGGGGUUUUUUUAUUUUAAGCUGUAGAAAUUUUCAGGACAGCACUAGCAAGGCCUUCCAAAAUAAAAUAUCUCUGAGCAGAUUCAGACACUGCCAACGAAUGUUGCCAAUUACGUUCACAGCCUCUUCUCUGCAGUCAAGUGGUGGGCCUUGCCUGAAUCAUCCAGCCAAAAAUUACAUGGAAUAGUUGCACAAUCCAUAUUUCAAACAUGGCGUGAGCAGGCUCACUCUGGCAACUGAUCUUACAGGACACUGGCAAUGCUGUUUUGCAAUGUCUACAGUCUCUAGGUUUUUUUUUAUUAUUUACAUACAGCUCUUCUCCAUGACUCCCAUUGAGCCUAAGCUAUGGCAGCCAAAUGCUUAAGAAUUACCGUAUUUUUCGCUCUAUAAGACGCACCAGACAAUAGUUUUUGGAGGAGGAAACC
rnacentral:lncRNA from 1 species